AGAUUGGACGCUGGCGGCAUGCCUUACACAUGCAAGUCGAACGGCAGCACGGGAGCAAUCCUGGUGGCGAGUGGCGAACGGGUGAGUAAUACAUCGGAACGUGCCCAUUCGUGGGGGAUAACGCGGCGAAAGCUGUGCUAAUACCGCAUAAGAUCUACGGAUGAAAGCAGGGGAUCGCAAGACCUUGCGCGAAUGGAGCGGCCGAUGGCAGAUUAGGUAGUUGGUGAGGUAAAGGCUCACCAAGCCUUCGAUCUGUAGCUGGUCUGAGAGGACGACCAGCCACACUGGGACUGAGACACGGCCCAGACUCCUACGGAGGCAGCAGUGGGAAUUUUGACAAUGGGCGAAAGCCUGAUCCAGCCAUGCCGCGUGCAGGAUGAAGGCCUUCGGUUGUAAACUGCUUUUGUACGGAACGAAAAGUCUACUUUCUAAUAAAGAGGAAGUCAUAGACGGUAACCGUAAAGGAAAUAAAGACGUACCGGACUAACCUAACGUGACCG
rnacentral:rRNA from 1 species